rnacentral:rRNA from 1 species
UGCAGUCGUACGAGAGUUUUUAACUCAAGUGGCGGACGGGUGAGUAACACGUAAGAAUUUGCCUUUAGGAGGGGGAUAACAACUGGAAACGGUUGCUAAUACCCCAUAUGCUUUCGAGUGAAAUGAAUUUUUUCGCCUAAAGAGAAGCUUGCGGCUGAUUAGCUUGUUGGUGAGGUAAUGGCUCACCAAGGCGACGAUCAGUAUCUGGUUUGAGAGGACGAUCAGACACACUGGAACUGAGACACGGUCCAGACUCCUACGGGAGGCAGCAGUGGGGAAUUUUCCGCAAUGGGCGAAAGCCUUACGGAGCAAUACCGCGUGAGGGAUGACGGCCUAUGGGUUGUAAACCUCUUUUUUCAGGGAGGAAUCAAUGACGUGUACCUGAAGAAUAAGCAUCGGCUAACUCCGUGCCAGCAGCCGCGGUAAUACG